AAAUGAAUUGACGGGGGCCCGCACAAGCAGUGGAGCAUGCGGUUUAAUUCGAUGUUACACGAAAAACCUUACCAACCUUUGACAUGGUGGUUAAAGAGUCUAGAGAUAGACUUGUCAGUUCGGCUGGACCACACACAGGUGUUGCAUGGCUGUCGUCAGCUCGUGUCGUGAGAUGUUGGGUUAAGUCCCGCAACGAGCGCAACCCUCAUUCUUAGUUGCCAGCGAGUAAUGUCGGGAACUCUAAGAAAACUGCCAGUGAUAAACUGGAGGAAGGUGGGGACGAUGUCAAGUCAUCAUGGCCCUUAUAGGUUGGGCUACACGCGUGCUACAAUGGCGGUAACAGAGGGAUGCUAAAGAGCAAUCUUAAGCAAAUCCUUAAAUGCCGUCUCAGUUCGGAUUGUACUCUGCAACUCGAGUACAUGAAGUUGGAAUUGCUAGUAAUCGCGGAUCAGCAUGCCGCGGUGAAUACGUUCACGGGCCUUGUACACACCGCCCGU
rnacentral:rRNA from 1 species